rnacentral:rRNA from 1 species
GGUUAAGCGACUAAGCGUAUACGGUGGAUGCCUUGGCAGUCAGAGGCGAUGAAGGACGUAGUAACUUGCGAAAAGCGUUGGCGAGCUAGUAACAAGCAUUUGAGCUAACGAUGUCCGAAUGGGGGAACCCAGCAGCAUAAGCUGUUAUCGCAACAUGAAUACAUAGUGUUGCGAGGCGAACGAGGGGAACUGAAACAUCUAAGUACCCUUAGGAAAAGAAAUCAACCGAGAUUCCCCUAGUAGCGGCGAGCGAACGGGGAUUAGCCCUUAAGUCAGUGGGGUGUUAGUGGAAUGCGUUGGAAAGCGCAGCGGCACAGGGUGAUAGCCCCGUACAUGAAAACUAACCAUUGAUGAAAACGAGUAAGGCGGGACACGUGACAUCCUGUUUGAAUAUGGGGGGACCAUCCUCCAAGGCUAAAUACUCCUGACUGAC